AUGCAGCCCUACCGAAUGGCUGCCUUCGGCAUUCGACAAGCCAUGAAGCUGACAACUAAGUUCUAUGGCCCCUAUCGUAUCUGACAGAAAAUUGGCCAUGUAGCAUACAAGCUCCAACUUCCCCAGCACAUUGGCAUUCAUCCGGUCUUCCACAUCAGUCAGUUGAAAAACCACCUGGGCGCACAUGCUGUCCCGAGCAAAAAUCUUCCAUUAGUGGACAGUACAGGCAAGAUUAAAACAGAACCACUAGCGGUGUUGGAAACUCGCUCAUUACCACGCAAUGGCGUCCUGAUCACCCAAUGGUUGAUCGAUUGGGAAAAUCUCAAACCUGAAGAAGCGACGUGGGAGGAUGCCAACUUCAUCAAACAAACCUUCCCCGACUUCUUUGCCAGCACGCUCAAAAGUUGGUUCCCAGAGAAGUAUACUUGA
rnacentral:rRNA from 1 species